AACGAACGCUGGCGGCAUGCCUAACACAUGCAAGUCGAACGAGACCUUCGGGUCUAGUGGCGCACGGGUGCGUAACGCGUGGGAACCUGCCCUUAGGCUCGGAAUAACUCCCCGAAAGGGGUGCUAAUACCGGAUAAUGUCUUCGGACCAAAGAUUUAUCGUCCUUGGAUGGGCGCGCGUUGGUUUAGCUAGUUGGUAGGGUAAAAGCCUAUCAAGGCGACGAUCCAUAGCUGGUCUGAGAGGAUGGUCAGCCACACUGGGGCUGAGACACGGCCCGGAAUCCUACGCGAGGGGGGAAAGGGUGAUAUAGGACAAUCGGGGGAGGGCUGAAGGAGCUAGGCCGGGAGAGUGCUGAAGGCCGGAAAGAAGUAAAGCUCUUUUACCCGGGAUGAUAAUGACGGUACCGAAAGAAUAAGCACCGGCUAACUCCGUG
rnacentral:rRNA from 1 species